GAUGAACGCUGGCGGCGUGCUUAACACAUGCAAGUCGAACGAUUAAACUGGCUUCGGCCAGAUAUAGAGUGGCGAACGGGUGAGUAACACGUGACCAACCUGCCCCGCGCUCCGGGACAACCGCUGGAAACGGCGGCUAAUACCGGAUGCUCCGGGGAGGCCCCAUGGCCUCCCCGGGAAAGCCUUAACGGCGCGGGAUGGGGUCGCGGCCCAUUAGGUAGACGGCGGGGUAACGGCCCACCGUGCCCGCGAUGGGUAGCCGGACUGAGAGGUCGACCGGCCACAUUGGGACUGAGAUACGGCCCAGACUCCUACGGGAGGCAGCAGUGGGGAAUUUUGCGCAAUGGGGGCAACCCUGACGCAGCAACGCCGCGUGCGGGACGAAGGCCUUCGGGUUGCAAACCGCUU
rnacentral:rRNA from 1 species